UACGAGGGGGGCGAGCGUUGUUCGGAAUUAUUGGGCGUAAAGGGUGCGUAGGCGGUUCCGCAAGUCCUGUGUGAAAUCUUCGGGCUCAACUCGAAGUCUGCACGGGAAACUGCGGGGCUUGAGUGUGGGAGAGGUGAGUGGAAUUCCCAGUGUAGAGGUGAAAUUCGUAGAUAUUGGGAAGAACACCGGUGGCGAAGGCGGCUAUCUGGACCGUAACUGACGCUGAGGCGCGAAAGCGUGGGGAGCAAACAGG
rnacentral:rRNA from 1 species